AUAUCACCUCUUCCUCAAAAUAGAAACUUAAAACACCUCUGUUCUCUUUUCUCCCCCUCAUAGUCUGAAACAGAGUUAAGAUACAGCUAAAUCAGACAGUUAAAAUAAGUUAAAAGUUGAAAACUUACCUUUGUUGUUAUUUGUGCUCUGUCUCACAAAUCACCACCCGCUCUCCACCUGGGAGGGAGCUGUAAUGGAUGCGCGCACGUGAGCCCAGAGCAUGGCUGCUGGAUCGGCCAGAGCAGGCGCGUAUCGGCCGAUACCGAUACAAAGGAAAAACGUGAAUAUCGGGCAAAAAUAUCGGCCGGCCGAUGUAUCGGUCGACCCCUACAUUACAGUAAUG